AAAAUUUUCAUUAAAUUAAAAUCACGAUUAUCAAAAAAGAUAAAGUAGCAGAAAAUAAAUUAAAAAAAAAAAUAAAGAGUGGAGUGUGGCAAGCUGCAACCGGUACAUCUCCAUCUUAUAGGUUGGGACUCUCUAGCCGUCUUUUUGCAGAAAGUUAAGGUACUGCGAAAAAGAGAUGGAGAUGGAGCAGCUGCUAAGCAUGGGUUUUCCAAGCGAAUUGGCUGCCCAAGCUCUGGCGGCUACGGGCGGCAAAUCCACCCUCAAAGCUACCGAGUGGAUUCUCUCCCAUAAAUCUUGUGACGCUAAUCCCAAGCCACCCUCAAACCCAACCCCUUCUUCGCUCCAGCCAAAGUUAGACCGCUUCUUCCACUUGCAAUCGAAACCCAACUCCUCCUCCAGUUCCCCUUGCACCCCACCACCCACUGAUCAAGCAGAGGAUGAACCCAUCCCUCUUUGUUCUAAGCGGCCCAAAUUAUUGGCAUCAUCAGCCACUAAUUCGUGCUCUCCCGCUAUCCACCACAGCAAGCACCAUCCUCCCCAUGAGCCCUUAUCAGAACGAAUGCGCCCUCGCUCCAUUGACGACGUCGUCGGCCAAGAUCACCUUCUGGCCCAGAACUCUAUCCUCCGCUCCGCCAUAGAUUACAAUCGCCUCCCUUCCAUUAUUCUUUGGGGCCCACCUGGGACAGGUAAGACCUCCAUUGGUAAAGCAAUUGUGAAUUCCUUUUCCCAGGAUCAGGCCUCUUCCUAUCGGUUUGUUUUUUUCUCGGCAGUCACUUGUGGGGUUAAGGAUGUGAGGGAUGCUGUUGAAAAUGCAAGGAAGUUGAAAGUGAAGAAUGGGAAAAGAACUGUGUUGUUUGUCGAUGAGAUUCAUAGGUUUAACAAGUCCCAACAGGAUUCUUUCUUGCCUGUUAUCGAAGAUGGUAGCAUUGUGUUUAUAGGUGCCACCACGGAGAACCCAUCCUUCCAUUUGAUUACGCCUCUGCUCUCGCGCUGUAGACUUCUUACCCUUUGCCCUCUAAAGCCUCAACAUAUUCAAACAAUUCUCAACCGAGCAAUUAAUCAUUCCUGCAGGGGACUGACACAAAGCUUAGGGGUGAGAGUUGAAGUGACUGAGGAUGCUAUUCGAUUUAUAUCUGAAAAUUGUGAUGGGGAUGCACGCGUUGCAUUGAACGCCUUAGAAAUCUCUGCUAUCACUGCAUCUGCCCGAACAAAUCCCAAUGAUAAUUUCUCUUUGGUGGCCAAUGUUACUUUGGAUGAUGCUAAGGAGACAUUUCAAUUCAAGCAUCUUGCUUAUGAUAAAGCAGGGGAAGAGCACUAUAAUCUGAUCAGUGCACUUCACAAGUCUAUGAGAGGAAGUGAUGCAGAUGCAUCCAUUUAUUGGUUGGCGCGAAUGUUAGAGGGAGGUGAACAACCACUCUAUAUAGCUAGGCGUUUGAUUAGGUUUGCAAGUGAGGAUGUUGGAUUGGCUGAUCCCUUGGCCCUUAACCAGGCUGUUGCUUGCUACCAAGCUUGCCAUUUCUUGGGCAUGCCUGAAUGCAAUGUGAUUCUCGCUCAGUGCGUGGCUUACUUGGCUUUGGCUCCAAAAUCCAUUGCUGUAUAUCAAGCAAUAGAGGCUGCACAAAAGGUUGUUAGAGAAUCCACUGGACAAAAUGAGGGAGUGCCGCUCCAUUUGAGAAAUGCACCUACUAAGGUAAUGAAAGAGCUUGGGUAUGGGAAGGGCUACAUCUACACUCCUGAUAAUCCUUCGUCAACUCAGACCUAUCUACCAUCCUCACUUGAGGCGUACAAGUUCCUUGAUUGGCCAGCCAGUAAUGUCAAUGAUUGGCGGGAAGCCAUUUGAUCACUACCAGAACUUUUUGACUCUGAUAGCUAAUACUGGUUAGCUGUCCUUUCCUCUUGGUGGGGCGCUAUGGACACUGUAAUAGACUUAUAGAUGGACAUAGCUUCAGUGUCGAGUUAUGUCUUGAUAUUUUUAUCAGGGAUGUCUUAAUUUUUGACAGCAGAUGUUAUCAUGGGUUGAAGAUUAUCUUGUGUAAGUAUUAUGGUAGUAACAAGCAACAGAAAAGUGUUAAAAAUAUGCAACAACAUUCGGUAAUUUUGUGAGUUAUAAAUCUGCUUGAAUGAUCUGAUAAGCAUUAAGAGGUUUAUGACGUUUGAAUUGAAGAUUAACGUUAGGGGAGGCCUUAGAUAAGAAUUAAAUCAAUGCAAUUUGUAAGCUUUUGAAGGGGCAUUCUGUUUUUUGGGAAUUUGAUACAUAAUGGGGUCUGAUGCGCUGAUUAUGUUUCAACAUUGAGUUUUUAGGGAAGCUCCUUCCCUUUGAGAUGUGGAAUUCUAAUUGCAGAGGAAAUCUGUGAAUGUUGUGCGCGCAUGCUUUUUGUCUGAACAUGUCUCAAAAAAGCUGUGAAUUAAUUUGUUAUUCAUCUCGUUCUUAUUUUGGUUGAUAGAGCAUAGAGGUAAUGGAUUAUUUGUUACAUAGUUGCGUGCUGCAUCAUUUGCUGGCCUGUGGCUGCUAAUUAAAAUAACAAUUGGGUUG
rnacentral:misc_RNA from 1 species